rnacentral:rRNA from 1 species
CGUAGGGUGCGAGCGUUGUCCGGAAUUAUUGGGCGUAAAGAGCUCGUAGGCGGUUUGUUGCGUCGGCUGUGAAAACUUCACGCUUAACGUGGAGCCUGCAGUCGAUACGGGCAGACUUGAGUUCGGCAGGGGAGACUGGAAUUCCUGGUGUAGCGGUGAAAUGCGCAGAUAUCAGGAGGAACACCGGUGGCGAAGGCGGGUCUCUGGGGCCGAUACUGACGCUGAGGAGCGAAAGCGUGGGAGCGAACAGGAUU